UACGUAGGGGGCAAGCGUUGUCCGGAUUUAUUGGGCGUAAAGAGCGUGUAGGCGGCCAGGUAGGUCAGCUGUGAAAACUCGAGGCUCAACCUCGAGACGUCGGUUGAAACCACCUGGCUAGAGUCCGGAAGAGGAGAGUGGAAUUCCUGGUGUAGCGGUGAAAUGCGCAGAUAUCAGGAAGAACACCCGUGGCGAAGGCGGCUCUCUGGGACGGUACUGACGCUGAGACGCGAAAAGCGUGGGGGAGCGAACAGG
rnacentral:rRNA from 1 species